AGAGCGAACGCUGGCGGCAGGCCUAACACAUGCAAGUCGAGCGCCCGUAGCAAUACGGGAGCGGCAGACGGGAUAGUAACACGUGGGAACGCGCCCUUCGGUUCGGAAUAACUCAGGGAAACUUGAGCUAAUACCGGAUACGCCCUUACGGGGAAAGAUUUAUUGCCGAAGGAACGGCCCGCGUCCGAUUAGCUAGUUGGUGAGGUAAUGGCUCACCAAGGCGACGAUCGGUAGCUGGUCUGAGAGGAUGACCAGCAUCACUGGGACUGAGACACGGCCCAGACUCCUACGGGAGGCAGCAGUGGGGAAUAUUGGACAAUGGGCGCAAGCCUGAUCCAGCCAUGCCGCGUGCGGGAAGAAGGCCUUCGGGUUGUAAACCGCUUUUGUCAGGGAAGAAAAGCUCCGGGCUAAUACCUUGGAGUCAUGACGGUACCUGAAGAAUAAGCACCGGCUAACUACGCGCCAGCAGCCGC
rnacentral:rRNA from 1 species